rnacentral:rRNA from 1 species
CCUACGGGAGGCAGCAGUGGGGAAUAUUGGACAAUGGGGGCAACCCUGAUCCAGCCAUGCCGCGUGUGUGAAGAAGGCCCUCGGGUUGUAAAGCACUUUCAGUGAGGAAGAACGCCUGGUGGUUAAUACCCAUCAGGAAAGACAUCACUCACAGAAGAAGCACCGGCUAACUCCGUGCCAGCAGCCGCGGUAAUACGGAGGGGUGCGAGCGUUAAUCGGAAUUACUGGGCGUAAAGCGCGCGUAGGUGGCUUGAUAAGCCGGUUGUGAAAGCCCCGGGCUCAACCUGGGAACGGCAUCCGGAACUGUCAAGCUAGAGUGCAGGAGAGGAAGGUAGAAUUCCCGGUGUAGCGGUGAAAUGCGUAGAGAUCGGGAGGAAUACCAGUGGCGAAGGCGGCCUUCUGGACUGACACUGACACUGAGGUGCGAAAGCGUGGGUAGCAAACAGGAUUAGAUACCCGUGUAGUC